GGGCUCAAUCCACGACCCAGGGGUCGCGUAUUAUCCCCGUCUCUUCUAUCCCCAUCGAAACCCUACCCCAUAGGCAGCGCUCAAGCGGCCGGCGGCCGGCGGCGAACGUACCGGCGGCGAGCGGAGCACUACCGAGUGGAGGUGCACGAGGUGGUAGCUGCCGGAGGGGAGGAACAUCUGUGGGGAAGACAAUACCACAUCGCCGCUCGACAUCGCCGCUCCACAUCGCCGCCGCCGCCGUUCUUGGACCUGACCGGCGACGCCACCUCCUGUACUUCGGUAUUCUCUCCGGUUUUGCUAUUCUGCAAACCUGGCAUUCUCUCCGGUAAAUUCAUUCAGCGACGAGACUCCACCCUCUUGGGAUCGUGUAGAAACACCCGUAUUCGGUUUCAGUUUCCGAAAUGGCCGCGCCGUCUACAUGGUUCAUUUGGCGAAUUUGGAAGGCAUUCAUUCUGACGCGUUGAGACUUUCCUUGUUCGGCCAUGAACCGAGGUCGUUUCGCUAUUUGUUGCUUCAUUGGUUACCCCACGUUAUUAUUGCAGAGAUAAUAGAAACGUAAUCGAUUCUCACAUACUCCCGUGUGAAACGAGCCCAGUUUCCUGUGUAAAAAAUUGUAUAUGUAUAUUUUGCAUGAAAAAAAUAGGUUGCUGACGACACAAAAAAAGAAAAUCAGUGAUCUCUCUUUAGCACA